rnacentral:rRNA from 1 species
AUUGAACGCUGUCGUCAGGCCUAACACAUGCAAGUCGAGCGGAGCGGCGGACGGGUGAGUAAUGCCUAGGACUCUGCCUGGUAGUGGGGGAUAACGUCCGGAAACGGGCGCUAAUACCGCAUACUAUCAGAUGAGCCUAGGUCGGAUUAGCUAGUUGUUGGGGUAAAGGCCUACCAAGGCGACGAUCCGUAACUGGUCUGAGAGGAUGAUCAGUCACACUGGAACUGAGACACGGUCCAGACUCCUACGGGAGGCAGCAGUGGGGAAGCUUCCGCAAUGGACGAAAGUCUGACGGAGCAACGCCGCGUGAGUGAUGACGGCCUUCGGGUUGUAAAGCUCUGUUAAUCGGGACGCAGUACCGGAAUAGAAAGCCACGGCUAACUACGUGCCAGCCGCCGCGGUAAUAC